AAGUUAUUAAGGGCGUACGGGGGAUGCCUAGGCUCUCAGAGACGACGAAGGACGUGAUAAGCUGCGAAAAGCUACGGGGAGGUGCAAAUAACCAUUGAUCCGUAGAUGUCCGAAUGGGGCAACCUAGUAUUGUGAAGCAAUACUGCAUAGCGUUAACCCGGGGAACUGAAACAUCUAAGUACCCGGAGGAAAAGAAAUCGAAGAGAUUCCCUGAGUAGCGGCGAGCGAAACGGGACUAGCCUAAAGCUGUAAAGUUAGUGGAAGUGUUCUGGAAAGGCACACCAAAGAAAGUGAAAGUCUUGUACACGAAAGCAAUACAGUGGAAUUAAGUAGGGCGGAACACGAGAAAUUCUGUCUGAAGAUGGGGAGACCAUUCUCCAAGGCUAAAUACUCCUGAGAGACCGAUAGUGAACCAGUACCGUGAGGGAAAGGCGAAAAGAACCCCGGAGAGGGGAGUGAAAUAGAACCUGAAACCGUAUGCGUACAAGCAGUGGGAGCCUACUUGUUAGGUGACUGCGUACCUUUUGUAUAAUGGGUCAGCGACUUAAUCUAACGAGCAAGCUUAAGCCGAUAGGUGUAGGCGCAGCGAAAGCGAGUCUUAAUAGGGCGCUUUAGUUCGUUGGAUUAGACCCGAAACCGAGUGAUCUAGCCAUGAGCAGGUUGAAGGUGCGGUAACACGCACUGGAGGACCGAACCCACCUCUGUUGAAAAAGGGCGGGAUGACUUGUGGCUAGGGGUGAAAGGCCAAUCAAACUCGGAAAUAGCUGGUUCUCCGCGAAAUCUAUUUAGGUAGAGCGUCAUCCGAAUACCCCGGGGGGUAGAGCACUGGAUGGGUAAUGGGGCCCCACAGGCUUACUGAUCCUAACCAAACUCCGAAUACCCGGGAGUACUAGAUGGCAGACACACGGCGGAUGCUAACGUCCGUCGUGGAGAGGGAAACAACCCUGACCUCCAGCUAAGGCCCCUAAUUCAUGGCUAAGUGGGAAAGCAGGUGGGACGACCAAAACAACCAGGAGGUUGGCUUAGAAGCAGCCACCCUUUAAAGAAAGCGUAAUAGCUCACUGGUCGAGCGAGCCCGCGCCGAAAAUAUAACGGGGCUUAAGCGCAGCACCGAAGCUUCGGGUUCUAGCAAUAGAGCGGUAGCGGAGUAUUCUCAGACAGACACGAGGUGUACCGUAAGGAGCGCUGGAGGGUCUGAGAAGAGCUUAUGCAGGCAUGAGUAGCGAUAAACCAGAUGAGAAAUCUGGUCGCCGUAAGCCCAAGGUUUCCUGGGGAAGGAUCAUCCACCCAUGGGUUAGUCGGCCCCUAAGCCGAGGCCGAAAGGCGUAGGUGAUGGGAAGCUGGUUAAUAUUCCAGCACCAUCGGUGACAGCGUUGAAGCGAGCAGGGACGAAGAAGGGUAUGCCGAGCUGAGCGUUUGGUCGUCUCAGUUCAAGCCAGUAGGCGGUUUCCGUAGGACCCGACAGGGACAAACGCGGAGACAACGCCGAGAGGUGAUGAGGUCAGCCUUCGGGCUGGACACUCGGUGAUCCCAUGCUUCCGAGAAAAGCUGCGCGCAGAGCUCCAUCGGUGACCGUACCGCAAACCAACUCAGGUGGGCGGGGUGAGUAUCCCAAGGCGCGUGAGAGAACACUGGCUAAGGAACUCGGCAAAUUGACACCGUAACUUCGGGAGAAGGUGUGCCUGGUGGAGUGAUGGGCCUCGCGUCCUGAGCUCUAUUGGGUCGCAGUGAAAUGGGGGUUGCGACUGUUUACUAAAAACACAGGACUCUGCGAACUCGUAAGAGGACGUAUAGGGUCUGACGCCUGCCCGGUGCUGGAAGGUUAAGGAAGGUAGUUAGCUCCGGCAAAGCUAUUGACUGAAGCCCCAGUAAACGGCGGCCGUAACAAUAACGGUCCUAAGGUAGCGAAAUUCCUUGUCGGGUAAGUUCCGACCUGCACGAAUGGCGUAACGACUUCCCCGCUGUCUCCAACAUCGACUCAGCGAAAUUGAAUUGCCUGUCAAGAUGCAGGCUUCCCGCGGUUAGACGGAAAGACCCCGUGCACCUUUACUACAGCUUCGCACUGGCUUCAGGCACAGCAUGUGCAGGAUAGGUGGUAGGCUUCGAAGCAGUGACGCCAGUCGCUGUGGAGCCUCCCUUGAGAUACCACCCUUGCUCUGCUUGAAGUCUAACCGCGGCCCGUUAUCCGGGUCCGGGACCCUGCGUGGUGGGUAGUUUGACUGGGGCGGUCGCCUCCCAAAAAGUAACGGAGGCGCGCAAUGGUGCCCUCAGGCUGAUUGGAAACCAGCCGUAGAGUGCAAAGGCAUAAGGGCGCUUGACUGCGAGACCGACAGGUCGAGCAGGUGCGAAAGCAGGCCUUAGUGAUCCGGUGGUUCCGCAUGGAAGGGCCAUCGCUCAAAGGAUAAAAGGUACUCCGGGGAUAACAGGCUGAUACCGCCCAAGAGUUCAUAUCGACGGCGUUGUUUGGCACCUCGAUGUCGGCUCAUCACAUCCUGGGGCUGGAGCAGGUCCCAAGGGUUUGGCUGUUCGCCAAUUAAAGCGGUACGCGAGCUGGGUUUAGAACGUCGUGA
rnacentral:rRNA from 1 species